GGGGAGGAUUCCCUUGUUUUGGGGAGAAUUCCCUUAUUUUGGGAAGGCUCCGCUGCCGUUUUCAGUCUGGGAAGGGAGCUUGAAAUUUUGGGGAGGAUUCCCCUCGUUUUGGGGAGGCUCCGCUGCUGUUUUCAGUCCACGAGGGGAGCCCGAAAUUUUGGGGAGGAUUCCCUGAUUUUGAGGAAGGUCUGCUGCCAUUUUCACUCCUUUUGGGGAGAAUUCCCCUCGUUUUGGGGAGGCUCUGCCGUGGCUUUCAGGAAGCGAGGGGAGCUCCCAGUUUUGGGGAGGAUUUUUUGAUUCUGGUGAGGGUCUGCUGCCAUUUUCACCCCUACUUUGGGGCAAAUUCCCUUGUUCCGGGUCAACCCUGCUGCUGUUUUCGCUCUUAUUUUGGGGCAAAUUCCCUCGUUCUGGUGUGCCCCUGCUGCCGUUUUUGCUCUUAUUUUUGGGGCAAAUUCCCUCGUUCCAGGACAACCCUGCCGCUGUUUUCACUCUUAUUUUGGGGCAAAUUCCCUUGUUCUGGGGCAACCCCGCCACCAUUUUCACUCUUAUUUUGGGGCAGAUUCCCUCGUUCUGGGGCGCCCCCACUGCUGUUUUUGCUCUUAUUUGGGGGACAAUUCCCUCGUUCUGGGGCAGCCCCGCUGCCGUUUUCGCUUUUAUUUUGGGGACAAUUCAUUUUGGGGAGGCUCUGCUGUGGUUUUCAGUCUGCGAGGGGAGCUCCCAGUUUUGGGGAGGAUUCUUUGAUUCUGGUGAGGGUCUGCUGCCGUUUUC
rnacentral:lncRNA from 1 species